ACGCCGGUAAAGCCACAGAGCGACGAUGAGGCGAGACGUCUGCGUUCUUCUCAGGCCUGAGACCCAACCGGCCCGGGCACCAGCUCCUGCUGGACCCCAGAGCGCCUGGAAAGCUCCGGAACCUCUCACCUGCCGCCUCCUCGGGUCCAAGUGCCACCGCGGCCGCGCCCCCGGCAGCCCAGGGCGCGCUUCCACCACGGUACCGGUGGAUUCGCCGUGCGCAGCCGGAAGAUGGCGCAGACGCACAAAGCACACCGAUGCUGCGCCAUGAUAGGGCCGGCGCCGCAGUGUCUUCCGGGAAACAUAGUCUUUAGGCGUAAAGGCAGCAGCCCGGCCUUGAAGCCGGAUCUCGCGAUGUUUCAGGGUGAGCCGGACGCAGGCGUGCCUGCGCAGUGCGCGGAGGAGUGCUGUUCGUGUGUUCGAGUCCCUGGGUUGCUUCCUGGGGUCUGUGGUGCUGGGUGUGCUAUCUGCGUGUGAUUCUCUAGCGAGAGAUUGUGGGCGAGUGACCGAGUGGGCAAGGGGCCGUCACUGUGUGUGCGUGAUUUUGACAGUGUGUGGUGGUAGCUUCUGACUCCGCGUGGGUCGUUGAAUGUAUGACUGGGACCGUUUAGCGGUGGAUACACAACUGUGUGCGGCUGUGGAAGAUUGCCUCAUCCGUUACGUUCCCAUUUCCGUGGAACAACAGUUUUACCAGAAGGUUUCGAAGGAACCUUAAAGUUUGGAAGCGUAAGAGUUUAUCUGGCGGCUUUGGUGUCAUCAAAUGUGAGAAGCCCUGGACUUUACACAUCCCGAGCCAGUGUGAUCCAGUAUGAUUGGGAGUCCGAGUGCCAGAUGCCGGUCAGGACCUGUUAUGCUGGGUCUCAGAAUGCGGAAACUCUCCCUGUCCGAGGUGGAACAGUUUGUCCUUGAGUGAGGACUGGAGUCCUGAGUGACUCUUUUGAUUUGAUCCUGUUUCCCUCAAACCUGAGAUGGGAGCCUCACUGUAUUGCCCAGGCUGGUCUUGAACUCCGGAGCUCAAGUGAUCGUCUUGCUUCAGCCUUGCAAAAUGAUGGUGAAGCUGCAUCAUUGUCUGGGGUAAAUACCUGAGAUGGAGUCCCUGUCUGACCGGGCCAUGUUGUAUGUUCCUUGCUGUACACGUGGUUGACAAAGAAAAGGGAAGAUGGAGCUGCGAUGUUGGACAUGCCUGGCCCCCAGGACAUACAGCCCUGCCGAGCAAAUAAUGAACGUAACUCACAAACUUCCUGCUUAUCAUCAAACGCACGCAUCCACUUAUCAUCAAACACCUCGGGUGACAGAAGAAUGCAGGUCAGCUCCCUGCUGCCUUGGCAUUAUCAAUCAGCCCAGGAACCAUCCUAUAAAAUCUCCAGCAAGCCUUUGUUUCCUUGCAGUCAGCUCCUCUUCCACUGAUUCUGCCUGUUGCUCCCUGAUAACAUACUUUGAUACUGUCUUUAAUAAAUCUGCCUUUCUUCACCCACAGCUGUCUUGGUAAGUUCUUUUACCUCUGUGCCACCAGCCCAAACAGUUGCUGCUCACCUGAAACAAAGAAUAAAUGUGGUUUUUAAGCAAAUCAAAGUUUACUUAGUGACUCUUACCAAGCUUUGUAGAAGGUUGUGCCAAAAGGAGAAGCUUAAGAGAUAAC
rnacentral:lncRNA from 1 species